GAUAUGAAAUCGGUGGGUGCAGGUCAACUUUUGUGUGUUGAAUUGAUAGUCCAUGAGAACGAGCUGACUAAGUCACCAAACCAAAGCCGAAUUCCGUGACCAUCGAACAAGAACACGGCAUUUCGUAUUCAAUACUAUAAUUAAGCGAUGUCUUCAUAUGGCUUGAUAUAAAAAGUCAACUUGAAACCUCCAGAUAUCGAUGCAGGAUCGGGGCCAUACCAUAUAUGGCAUUUUUUGCAUGUGAUUUAUAACGAGUUCACUUCUAACAACAUCGGGGUUUCAAAUUCUGUAAAGCUUAAAGGUGGAUAUCUGGAUAUUUACGGGAGAUUAAAAUAAUUAAUAUGCGGGCUCAUACAGGUAGGUAUACGGCAGGUUUGUUUUCAUACUAACCUCUCUUCUAGCUCUACAUGUGUGGGAAAAGAAUAUAUAUGAGUUCUGUGUGUUGGAAGAUUUCAUUAAUUUCAGUUCAGAUUAUUUGCAUUAAUUAGUGACCUCCCCAUUACCUAAAUAUUUUUGGAGCUAUAUAUCUUGAGUCAACAGCUAGACCUCUCUAUUACCUAAAUAUUUUUUGGGCUGUAUAUCUUGAGUCUACACCUACCAUCGAUCUUCUUCUUCUUCUUCUUCUUCUUCUUCUUCAGAUUGCAUCAGAAACUAUUCCAUUAACUGAUGACAAUGGCCUGGCUAUCGCUCUCGCUCUAACAAUGUUAUGAAAAGUUUUAAUUGCAGUGAUGUAGAUGUUUGUACAUACGUUACUAGCUACGUAUUAUAUAUGGUCUGUCUAAAAAGAGCUGUUUUAAUUAAAGCAUGCAACUAACAAAUCACUGUUAUCAUAUCUAUCGUUUAUCAGUGUAUUAUCACAUAAUAUCUUCAGCUAGACGUAUAUCCAUCAACCAGCAACUUCUAACCGAAGAAAUUAUCUGGGACGUACCUAUUCUUAUAUAUAUAUAUAUACAUAUAUGUAUAUGUGUGUGUAUACACACCCAUAUAUACCUAUAUAAUCAACCUGGACAUCUCCAACUUUUUUAAAUAUGAAUUUGACAUUUUACAAUGUAAAAUUUUUCGUAACACUAAAAAAUUCUUUUACAACACAGAAUCUGUAUUUUAAAAAGUACAUAAGUUUGCAUCUGAGAAUGACUCUUCAUAUGUAUUGCGAUUGAAUCAAUAGAAGGGAACAGAUAAGCAUAUUUGCUUCUUUUGAAAAAGUUUCUUGAUCUCUUCCUUUUAUUAGUUACGUUUAUAUUUUUCUAUGUUUGUUAACCUACCAAAAUAUAAAACAUAAAACGACACUUUUUGGCAGAUCACAUUUCUUUCAAAUACGAAGAAAUUAAUAUCAUUAGAAAAUUUAACCGAACACUCUUGGUAUCGAAAAACUUGAAAUUAAAAGAAAACUAUAAGCAAAUAAUUAAAAGAGAAACAGAAGUUCGGCAAAGCAUAGCGAACCUCGAUAUUUAUAUUUCUAAUCACCUGGGUGACUUGUAUCAGAAUUUCUCCUUGUACUCUCAUGAGGAUCAGAAGCUGAUGAUGAAGAGCUUUCAAGCUGCAUGCCAUAUCUUAAUAACUCAUGCUGCUGCGGUUGCUGAGACGACGUCGCAGAAGACGAAGAUGAAGAUGAAGAAGUGGUCGGUAAAGUC
rnacentral:lncRNA from 1 species